rnacentral:rRNA from 1 species
UUGGUGCCUUCGGAACUCUGACACAGAUGCUGCAUGGCUGUCGUCAGCUCGUGUCGUGAGAUGUUGGGUUAAGUCCCGUAACGAGCGCAACCCUUGUCCUUAGUUACCAGCACGUUAUGGUGGGCACUCUAAGGAGACUGCCGGUGACAAACCGGAGGAAGGUGGGGGAUGACGUCAAGUCAUCAUGGCCCUUACGGCCUGGGCUACACACGUGCUACAAUGGUCGGUACAAAGGGUUGCCAAGCCGCGAGGUGGAGCUAAUCCCAUAAAACCGAUCGUAGUCCGGAUCGCAGUCUGCAACUCGACUGCGUGAAGUCGGAAUCGCUAGUAAUCGUGAAUCAGAAUGUCACGGUGAAUACGUUCCCGGGCCUU